UGGGGAAUAUUGCGCAAUGGGCGAAAGCCUGACGCAGCAACGCCGUGUGAGGGAUGAAGGCUUUCGGGUCGUAAACCUCUGUCGGAAGGGAAGAACGGGUGAGGGUCUACUAGGCCUUCAUUUUGACGGUACCUUUAGAGGACGCACCGGCUAACUCCGUGCCAGCAGCCGCGGUAAUACGGAGGGUGCAAGCGUUAUGCGGAAUUACUGGGCGUAAAGCGCACGUAGGCCGCUUUGUAAGUCAGGGGUGAAAUCCCACGGCUCAACCGGGGAUCGGC
rnacentral:rRNA from 1 species